rnacentral:rRNA from 1 species
UACAGAGGUGGCAAGCGUUGUUCGGAAUUCCUGGGCGUAAAGGGCGCGUAGGCGGUCCCGUCAGUCCCUUGUGAAAUCCCCCGGCUCAACUGGGGAACUGCAAGGGAUACAGCGGGGCUUGAGUUCGGGAGAGGGAAGCGGAAUUCCGGGUGUAGCGGUGAAAUGCGUAGAUAUCCGGAGGAACACCGGUGGCGAAGGCGGCUUCCUGGACCGAUACUGACGCUGAGGCGCGAAAGCUAGGGGAGCAAACGGG